GGUAAAGUGGCGCACGGGUGAGUAACACGUAGGCAAUCUGCCCUAAAGUGGUGGAUAACCCUCCGAAAGGAGGGCUAAUACAGCAUGAGACCACGGCAUCCACGGAUGCUGCGGCUAAAGUGGGCCUCUCCAUGGAAGCUCACGCUAUAGGAUGAGCCUGCGGCCCAUCAGCUUGUUGGCGAGGUAAUGGCUCACCAAGGCUAAGACGGGUAGCUGGUCUGAGAGGAUGAACAGCCACACUGGAACUGAGACACGGUCCAGACUCCUACGGGAGGCAGCAGUGGGAAUCUUGCACAAUGGGCGAAAGCCUGAUGCAGCGACGCCGCGUGAGCGAUGAAGGCCUUCGGGUUGUAAAGCUCUGUGGGGAGGGACGAAUAAGGGUUGGCUAAUAUCCAAUCUGAUGACGGUACCUCCUUAGCAAGCACCGGCUAACUCUGUGCCAGCAGCCGCGGUAAGACAGAGGGUGCAAACGUUGUUCGGAAUCACUGGGCGUAAAGCGCGUGUAGGCGGCUACGUAAGUCGGACGUGAAAGCCCACGGCUCAACUGUGGAAGAGCGCUCGAAACUGUGUAGCUUGAGUCUUGGAGAGGAAGGCGGAAUACUUGGUGUAGAGGUGAAAUUCGUAGAUAUCAGGUAGAACACCAGUGGCGAAGGCGGCCUUCUGGACAAUGACUGACGCUGAGACGCGAAAGCGUGGGGAGCAAACAGGAUUAGAUACCCUGGUAGUCCACGCCGUAAACGAUGAGUGCUAGGUGUCACGAGCUUUGACCCUCGUGGUGCCGAAGCUAACGCGUUAAGCACUCCGCCUGGGGAGUACGGCCGCAAGGCUAAAACUCAAAGGAAUUGACGGGGGCCCGCACAAGCGGUGGAGCAUGUGGUUUAAUUCGACGCAACGCGCAAAACCUUACCUGGGCUAGAAAUCACAAGAAGCUGGUCGAAAGAUCGGGGUGCCCUUCGGGGAACUUGUGGUUAGGUGCUGCAUGGCUGUCGUCAGCACGUGUCGUGAGAUGUUGGGUUAAGUCCCGCAACGAGCGCAACCCUUGCCGUUAGUUGCCAGCAUUCAGUUGGGCACUCUAACGUACUGCCGACCUUAAAGUCGGAGGAAGGUGGGGAUGACGUCAAGUCCUCAUGGCCCUUACGUCCAGGGCUACACACGUGCUACAAUGGUCAGUACAAAGGGUUGCGAACCCGCGAGGGGGAGCUAAUCUCAAAAAACUGGCCUCAGUACUGAUAAGAGUCUGCAACUCGACUCUUUGAAGUCGGAAUCGCUAGUAAUCCCUGAUCAGCAUGGCAGGGGUGAAUACGUUCCCGGGCCUUGUACACACCGCCCGUCACACCAUGGGAGUCGAUUGCUCCAGAAGUGGCUGCACCAACCCGCAAGGGAGGUAGGUCCCCAAGGAGUGCUCGGCGACUGGGGUGAAGUCGAAACAAGGUA
rnacentral:rRNA from 1 species